rnacentral:tmRNA from 1 species
GGGGAUGCCUGGUUUCGACAGGGAAUGGACACCGUAGAUUGCAAGCCGAGCCGCCCAGUCUCGUUAAAGGGGCAAAAUGCAGUAAAUGCGAACAACACUUUUCGGGCUCAAUCACCAACGAUGGCCCUUGCUGCUUAAUAAAGCAGCACGCUUCCCUGCAUGUUCCUGACCGUGGAGGAAUAAGCGUCGAUUAGUCGGGUGCCUUUUGUGUACAUGCUUGCUAACACGAAAGUAAGAUAAGCAGGCUCGCUCACGGGUAACGUUGUUUGUUGCGUAACCCGGAGUAAAAACAACAACAAACUAAGCUUGUAGCAUGUUUGCGGUUAUGUUUUCUGGACGGGGGUUCGAAUCCCCCCAUCUCCACCA